AGUGGCGAACGGCGGAGUAAUACAUGAGUAACGUGCCCUUCAGACGGGGAUAUACAGUCGAAAGACUGGGCAAUACCGGAUGAGAUGGCGAGGAGGCAUCUCCUUGUCAUGAAAUGGUUUUUCGCUGAAGGAGCGGCUCAUGACACAUCAGAUAGUUGGUGGGGUAACGGCCUACCAAGUCUACGACGUGUAGGGGGUCUGAGAGGAUGAUCCCCCCGAGUGGGACUGAGACACGGCCCACACACCUACGGGUGGCAGCAGUUGGGAAUCUUGCGCAAUGGGGGAAACCCUGACGCAGCGACACCGCGUGGAGGAUGAAGGAUUUCGGUCUGUAAACUCCUUUUGCUAGGAAAGACUUAGGACGGUACCUAGCGAAUAAGCUCCGGCUAACUACGUGCCAGCAGCCGCGGUAAUACGUAGGGAGCAAGCGUUGUCCGGAUUUACUGGGCGUAAAGGGCGUGUAGGCGGUCUGUUAAGUGUGACGUGAAAUCUUCAGGGCUCAACCCGAAAAUUGCGUCGCAGACUGGCAGACUAGAGGGAAGCAGAGGUUGAUAGAAUUCCUGGUGUAGCGGUGACAUGCGUUGAUAUCAGGAGGAAUACCGAUGGCGAAGGCAGUCAACUGGGCUUUUCCUGACGCUGAGGCGCGAAAGCGUGGGUAGCAAACAGAAUUAGAUACUCUGGUAGUCCACGCCCUAAACGA
rnacentral:rRNA from 1 species